rnacentral:rRNA from 1 species
GGAUUAGAUACCCUGGUAGUCCACGCCGUAAACGAUGUCUACUAGUUGUCGGUGGUCUUUACUGCUGGUAACGCAGCUAACGCGAUAAGUAGACCGCCUGGGGAGUACGGCCGCAAGGUUAAAACUCAAAUGAAUUGACGGGGGCCCGCACAAGCGGUGGAGCAUGUGGUUUAAUUCGAAGCAACGCGAAGAACCUUACCUGGCCUUGACAUCCUGCGAACUUUCUAGAGAUAGAUUGGUGCCUUCGGGAGCGCAGAGACAGGUGCUGCAUGGCUGUCGUCAGCUCGUGCCG